rnacentral:rRNA from 1 species
UACGUAGGUGGCAAGCGUUAUCCGGAUUUACUGGGUGUAAAGGGCGCGCAGGCGGUUCUGAAAGUCAGAUGUGAAAGAUCAAGGCUUAACUUUGACAGGUCAUCUGAAACUUUGGGACUUGAGUAUCAGAGGGGAAAGUGGAAUUCCUGGUGGAGCGGUAAAAUGCGCAGAGAUCAGGAGGAACACCGGUGGCGAAGGCGACUUUCUGGCGUGACAACUGACGCUGAGGCGCCAAAGCGUGGGGAGGCAAACAGGAUUAGAUACCCU